rnacentral:lncRNA from 1 species
AGCUCUAAUAGGCUGAGAAAGCAAUCAUCUACCUGGUUCUAUCUUAUUUAAGCAAGCAAUUUUGGAGGAUUGUAUGAGGCACGCAAAGGAUGAGUUAAAGAGAGAUGUUCUUGGGUGUUAAGGAAAUGGUUGAAUGGAGCAUUGUCUCUAUUGUUCCAACUGGUGCCAUUGUUUGAUGGGAGAAAGCCCAGGGACAUGAAAAGAAAGAAGUCCACUGCCUUGAUCGUCUGAGCAAGUCAGAAGACACCUGGGGACUAGAUGGUGAAAUAAACACACUCCUUAGUGUUGGUCUCAAUCAGCGAGCGCUGGAAAGGACACCCAGGAGACUAAGAUACUCGGUGGUGCACAUAGAGGUAGCUCCCUACUGCCUCCUUGAUCGUCACGGAAGCACACCAGAAGUUUUGUCUUAGCAGCCCACGCAGAGUGAAGAAUCCUCCAGGUCAGAGGAAUGCAAGAAUGAAGAGCGGCAUAAGCCCUCCAAAGAGAACAGAGCUAUCGGCAGCCUGAUGUGUUUUCAAAUUGAAAGCUGGGUAGUGCUUUUUCUUUUUUAGAUAUACACUUUGCUAUAAAAUAAAAUGCCACAAUCAACAGUUGGAUUUCACUGUUAUAACUUGUUCAGUUCCUUUAAAUUAAAUUGUGGUUAAAACC